GUGCUCGCUUCGGCAGUACAUAAACUAAAUUUGGAAUGAUUAACAUGGCCUUGAGCAAGGAUGACACGCAAAUCCGUGAAGCAUUCCAUAUCUUU
rnacentral:snRNA from 1 species